AUUGGAGAUAAAGGAGACACAUGAAGUUUAACAAUUUGCACAAGGAAGACAUAGCUCAUUCAUCAUAGAGAGAUGAUCCAUGGAACGAGACGAAGAAUGCCACAAACACGAUGCACAACUGCUAAGAAAGGAAAGCUUCCACAAGGUAAUAUUGUACCAUCACUCUUCAAGUAAGGUAACAACUUAAGGUACUUGACUAUCACUUUUAAAAGUUUCUCCUUGGUUCUGGUGUUCACGUAAAAAAAAGAGACAAACACGUAUGAUUUGUAACUCCAAAUUAACGAACCCAACUGAUUCAACAUGUUUAGUCCUUUAAUCUUUGUUCCUAGUACUACCUCCAUGAUCCUACACUCCUAAUCAUAUAAGCUAAAAUGUUGCACAUUCAAUAUUUGGAAGAUAUAAGCAAAACAUAAAUAUGGAUAGAUUAUUUUUCCAUUAGGUUAAGCAAUCUGAUCUGACAAAUGUUUUAAAUGCUACACUCUUGAUCUUAUUAUCCAUCAACUUUGUCUUGCUCACUAUGCUUAAGGUUAGAGAAGAACAAAUACACUUUUGGUUCUGUUGGUGUUUUUCACCAACAGGGCCCAUGCACUUGAUCUCUGCCUUGUCUCUAUGAGUAGGUACACUUCGAGCAAAACCUGAAGGAGUUUUACAACUCUAGAUUCUUCCAAGUGAAGGACCUAGAUCUACGAGCACAAACACACUAGAGAUACUGGACACUCAGGUAAUCACUGCCUUGAGAUGCUUGAGGACGUAAAUUACAUCAACAACAACAACUACUACUACAACCAUCCUCAACAAAAUCAAGGUUGGAAUCAACAGAGACCUAACUACUCAGCUUGCACAUCGGACACUCAGUUUCCCAAAGGAAAUAUUGAAGAACCUCUGCGUCCGAGUUGGUACCUUGUACGCUCCAGCAGACUUCAUGGUGAUAGAGACUGGUACUGAUGAGAGGGCACCCAUCAUCCUAGGGAGGUCAUUCUUGAACACCUCGAGAGCUAUCAUCUACGCUAGUGCUGCCAAGAUCAGUUUCUACAUCAAGGGGAAGAAGGAGAUUUUCCUUCAAGAACAAGACUACAUAAAUUUUAGAGCAAUCCCAACAUGAACCAAGGAAGAGGACCAACAGGAGGAACAGGAACAAGCAAAUGUGGACCGAGUCAGCUAAGAUGGUCACUGCAGCUCAAGGAAGUCAAGAUCGUCGACUUAAGUCACCGUUCCUGACAAAAAAGGAUGACCCAAGUUAUUGAUAUGGGAGAAGACAAAUACGAUCCGCCCAUCAUCCUUGGGAGACCGUUCCUCAGUACCAAUAAAGAAAUCAUCUACAUUGGAACCGAAGAUGUCCACAUGCACUUCCCCUCUGAGAAGGUACGCCACUAUUUUAUUGACCUUAACUAUAUAGUUGAAGACUCUAAGCAGGUCAGGACAAGAAGAAGACGACGCAACCACAACAAGAGGAGGACGGAUGGGCAGACUACGAAGGAGAAGUAGUAAGCUCUGAAGACAUACAGCUUGAACAGAACUGUCCUGAGGAGACCGUAGCACCGAGUCAGGUAUGGAGAGAGAAGAUAGUUAUACACGAAGAGGAGGCGCCGCCGGAACCACCGACUACGCCAUCCAGCGAAUCCCAGGACGACUGAGAAAAUGAAGAGUCCCGUUCGGAAGACUUAAAAACACCGAACGCCUCGCCAAGAGGUAAACUUGGUAGUUAUCCUUUUCCCUUCAAUUAUUUGAAAUAGUUUGCUUAGUUAAUCAGGUUCAUAUCAUCUCGAAAAGAAAAUAAAAAUGUUAAAAAUAGUAAGCCCCAUGUGAAUAUGCUCAUGGCGUAAAACCCAUAAGUACAUUCACUGUGGUGGCGUAAAAAUAAAAUAAAUAUAUUCCUGUCCUAUAAAAAUAAAAAUAUAAAAAUAAAUUUAUGAUCCUACGAAAGAGAGUAACAUUUAUUGAGGAGGCUCAACAUGAUAAAGGCUAGAUAUUUAUGCUAACACUUAACCAGUUCCACAAAGCUUUGUUGUCUAUUUGAGCUCCACAGAAUUCAAGGAUCAAAGAACGAGCAGAUAGAGGACAUCCUAAUCGCUAUCAGGGUGCUGCCGACAUUCAAAUACACCUCCGCCACCUGCUAGCUACAUCAGAGGAAAUUACGUCAAAAUCUAGCUUGGGGGAGAGCACCCCCAUUUAUCCAGCUAAGUGUUUCUACUCGCGUUUAUACUUUACUCAAAUAAUAAAAAGAUGCAUAAUCAUGAAAACCCAAAUAAAAUUUUUUGUGCUUAUAUAUAUCUUUGCUUAGUUUGCUAAAUAAAUAAAUAAAGUGUCUAGGCCAAACUAAAACUAAAUGAUAAACUCUUGCAUGGAUAUGAUAAAUAGUUGCUCUGCCAUGUACCUAGUUUUCAAGUUUGAGCUCUCUCUCUCAAGUUUAGGCAUAACUGUUAUAAUUUAAACCUGCUCUAAACCUGAACUCGUGGGAAGAGUACUUGAUCUAAAGUCUAUGUCGUUAACGGAUACGAUAUGGGAAGGUUGAGCUGCUGUUUAUCUGUUCCUAGAGAUGCUAGAAUUCUGGAGAAUUUUUAUCUUUGAAAAUCUUUAAAAUAACACAUGAUGAGUUCCUGUAUGAUAAGAGUUUAAAUUCCUACCAUAGUUAUAUAUACAUGCUUGCUAGACUUCGAGCCACACAUUUACUUUUUACUCCUUAUGAGCAUUGAGUGUGGUCAAGCUGUGUAGACCCUUAGGAGCUUGUCAUGCGGUUAAAAUCAAGAUUCACUUGCAUGUUCACUCAUACAUGCUACUUCUACUCCGGAAGUACGCAUCCACAUAGAUCCACUCAUUUCCAUCUCCAGAGCCACCCAAAAGUAUUCUACUCCUAAUCCGGGAGAGAAUAGCCAAAAACAUUCUCCUAUUUCUGUUUUUCCCUAUGAAAUAAAUGCUCGAGUUAUCUUGGUUACUAUCACUUGCUAUAUUAUUUCAGGAGAUGAGUGCUCUAGUAAAAAAAGGGUGAAUACGAGGAAAUAAAAAGGGGCAAGUGCCCGGAACCUCGAAGGAAAGAAAAAGUGAGACGAGAGGUAAAAAUGGACAAGUGUCCGACAGUAGAAUUAGGUGUACAAGAUACCCACCUGAGAGAAAAAAAAAGAAAAUAGAGAGCAUCUCAUUCUCCUCAAAAAGCUUCAAAGUGCAAGAAAGGUAUGUAUCUCUUUAAAAGAGCAAAAGAAGAAUUAGACUUUCACCAUUGUUAUCACCAUCAUCACCAUACACCAUUCACUCGCCACACAUGCACAUCUUGAUUUGACUUAUUGACUUGUUUGUCUGGAUCCAUGGUUUGACUAUGCAAUAAAUGUCUUGUAAGUAUGUAUUAGCUGUCUCCCACCUAUGAGCUCCAGAUAUCAAAACCUUAUUAGAGUAGGAUGAGAGAGAAGGCAAUAUCACUAUGCCUCAUACCAAAAAUAUCACAUACUUUGAGAGAAGGCAUAUACCAUUACUGCCUUGGAAAGGAUCCAGAAAUACCACAAAAGAGAGAUUUGAGAGAUUCAUACAAGGAAUCUCUGAGUUUUAUUUGAAAAUCUACAAAAACUCCAGAGCUUUAGCUGAUCAAAGAACAAGAGACAAGGCGCUUGACUUGACCGUUCUAUCUUUUAACUGCUCGAGACACAAGUGACGGUUGCAAGCCCCAUGGAGUUAGGUAAAAUGAGUAAGUUUUAAGUCUUAACAGUUUACUCUAACUCAGAGAUGAGAUCUUCCUUGAAUGCAUGUGUACUUUUAAGGCACGAAACCAUUGUUUGCUCAAGGAUGAGCAAGAGGUAAGCUUGGGGGAGUUUGUUGACGGUCCUUAAGUACCAAAUAUAGUCAUCAAAUAAAUAAAGAAAAGGAUCCAAAUGCAACCAACACCCAGACAUAGGGUUUUAUCUGACAGAAUUCCACAAGUUUUGGUGUUUGUCUAUUUCUGCAGGGGGUUAUCAGGAAAUAUGGAAGAAAGGCCCACACGAUGGGUUUACAUAGAGAUAUUAAUGUACCGCGCAAUUUUCUAUCAUCUAGAAGACUCCAGAAGCCACGAGAACGAACGAGAAGGUGAUCGGGCCCGGGGACAGGGCGCCCGCCAUCCCCCCUUGGGCGCCCGCCCUAUUGGAGACACCAAUCAGGUCCCGUCUCACGGAUUAUGCUCCACCGACCUAAAGGAUCAAGGAUAACCGUUCAAUCAAUGUCGGUUUGAUCCUACGGCCCACGUUCACCUGAGGGGACUAUAUAAGCAGACCCCCUGACCCCUGGAGGAGAACAAGUUCAUUUAUAGAGUUGAGAGGUGCCCUCGAAGGAUAACCUUUCGUCUGCAUAUACUUAGGGCUUAGCAUCCAAUGUGAGAGUAGAAUUAGUUCUUCUAAGUUCUACUAGAUUGAGAGAGAUAGAGUGGAGGUGUAGAUCGGAGGAAGCCCGGCCUGUCGGUGUCUACCUGCGGGAUCAAGUGUCCUAACCCGAGGCUUGCUCCUAGGAUUCUUCAGUAUUUCAACUUCUAAAUUCUAGUAAGUUUUUGUUCUUAUUGUUCUUUGGUUUAUGAGUUUACUUUAAUCUCUUCCAGUUGAGUUUAGAGUAAUCAUUGCUAGCGUAAACGUGGUGUUUGGGCUAGGGUAAUCAUAGAUAUCCCCUAACUAGCUGGACCGUGGUAGUAGCGAGGAACGUGACAUUUCCGAGGUACCUUUGCAGCCCACAUCUCAUUAGCAGGAUGGGUACGGUUUAUAGGUGUGGGUCGAACAUCCUCUGUGGUGUCUAGAUUCUGUGAGCCUCCCUAAUAGAACAGUAGAUCAUCCUUACCAAGGUUAGAACGAGACUACGGUCGUAGUCUUCUCUAUACAUCGCUCACAUCGAAUCACAUUCUUUGUAGCCUAAUGGGUAGUAGCAAUAGUUUUGGUUAGUCAGAUGCACGCUUUCUCCUAGUGGUAAGAAUACAAAUACGAUACUCUGGAUAACCUCUUGGGUGAUGUGCUCACCGAUAUCCGUGCACUUGCGGAUCAUUUCCUGAUGGCGUUACCAAAUAUCAACAAGAUGAUCCAUGGAGGGUGCCACAAACACGAUGCACAACCGCUAAGAAAGGAAAGCUUCCACAAGGUGAUACUGUACCAUCACUCUUCAAGUAAGGUAACAUCUUAAGGUACUUGACUAUCACUUUUAUAAGCUUCUCCUUGGCUCUAUCGUUCACAUGAAUAAAAGAGACAAACAUGUAUGAUUUACAACUCUAGAUUAACCAACCCAAUCGAUUCAACAUGUUUAGUCCUUCCACCUUUGUGAUCCCACACUCCUAAUCAUAUUAGCUAAAAUGCUGCACACUCAAUCUUUGGAAGAUAUAUAUAAAAAAAACAUAAAUAUAGAUAGAUUAUCUUUCUAUUAGGUUGAGCGAUCUGAUCUGACAAAUGUUUUAAAUACUACACUCAUGAUCUUAUCACCCAUCAACUUUGUCUUGCUCCCUAUGCUUGAGGAUAGAGAAGAAUAGACAUACUUUUGGUUCUGUUGGUGUUUUCCACCAACAGAACCCAUGCACUUGAUCUCUGCCUUGUCUCUAAGAGUAGGUACACUUUGAGCAAAACAUGGAGGAGUUUUACAACUCCCAGACUCCACCAAGUGAAGGACCUAGAUCUAUAAGCACAAACACACUGAGCAAGAUACUGCCAACGCCGCACUUCAAACUGCUGGGCAAACAAAGAACAUGGGUGACACCGUAUCAAGAGGUGCAGACGUCAAGGUUCACACCUGAAUCAAAUGACACACCUGAAGGAUGAACACGGUGAGAAGUCUUGUUCAGAAGACUUAAAACUUUGAACCCUCGCCGAAAGGUAAAAUUGGUAGUUAUCCAUAUUUAUCCUUUCUGCAUUCCCUUUUCCCUUAAAUUGUUUACUUUCUUUAAAAUGAUUUGUUAGUUAAUCAUGCUAUCUUGAAAAGAAAAUAAAAAUGUUAAAAAUAGUAAGCCCCAUGUGAGUAUGCUCGUGGCAUAAAACCCAUAAGUACAUUAACUGUGGUGGUGUAAAAAUAAAAAUAUUCCUAUCCUAUAAAAAUGAAAAUAUAAAAAUGAAUUUAUGAUCCUACAAAAAAGAGUAAUAUUUAUUAGAGGAAGCUCAACAUGAUAAAGGCAAAGAGAUUUUUAUGCUAACACUUAACCAGUUCCACAAAGCUUUGUUGUCUAUUUGAGCUCCAUAGAAUUCAAGGAUCAAAGAAGACUAGCAGACGGAGGACAUCCUAAUCGCUAUCAGGGUACUGCCGACAUUCAAAUACACCUCCGCCACCUGCUAGCUACAUUAGAAGAAAUUAUGUCAAAAUCCAGCUUGGGGGAGAGCACCCCCAUUUAUGCAGCUAAGUGUUUCUACUCAUGUUUAUACUUUACUAAAAUAAUAAAAAGAUACAUAAUUAUAAAAAUCUAAAUAAAGAUUUUGUGCUGAUAUAAAUAUCUUUGCUUAGUUUAAUAAAUAAAUAAAUAAAUAAAUAAAUAAAGUUUGCUAUGAACCCUUAUGAUAAGCUCUCACAUAGAAAUGAUGAAUAGUUGCUCUGCCUAGUUCUCAAAAUUGAAAUCUCUCUCAAGUUUAGGCUUGACUGUUAUGAAUUAAGAUUUGCUCUAAACCUGAACUUAUGGGAAGAGUACUUGAUCUAAAGUCUAAGUCGUUAACGGAUAUGAUAUGGGAAGGUUGAGCUGUUGUUUAUCUAUUCCUAGAGAUGCUAGAAUUAUGGAGAAUUUUAUCUUUGAAAAUCUUUAAAAUGUUGCAUGAUGAGUUCCUGUAUGAUGAGAGUUUAAAAUCCUACCAGAGCCAUAUAUACAUGCUUAUUAGACUAUGAACCAUACAUUUACUUUUUACUGCUUAUGAGCAUUGAGUGUGGUCAAGCUGUGUAGAACCUUAGGAGCUUGUCAUGCGGUUAAAAUCAAGAUCCACUUUCACUUUCACUCAUACAUGCUGCUUCUACUCCGGAAGUACGCAUCCACAUACAUCCACUCAUUUCCAUCUCCAGAUUUACCCAAAAUUAUUCUACUCCAAUCCAGGAGAGAAUAGCCAAAAACAUUAUUCUAUCCCUGUUAUUCCCCGUGAAAUAAAUGCUCGAGAUAUUUUGAUUACUACCACUUGCUACAUUAUUCCAGGAGGGUGAGUGCUCUGAAAAAAAAGUGAAUACGAGGAAAUAAAAAGGGGCAAGUGCCCGAAACCUCGAAGAAAAGAAAAAGUGAGACGAGAGGUAAAAAUGGACAAGUGUCCAAUAGAAGAAUUAGGGGUACAAGAUACCCACCUGAGAGAAAAGAAAAAAAGAAAAUAUAGAGCAUCUCAUUCCCCUCAAAAAGCUUCAAAGUGCAAGAAAGGUAUGUAUCCCCUCAAAAGAGCAAAAGUAGAAUUAGACUUUCACCAUUGUUUUCACUAUUAUCACCAUCAUCACCAUACACCAUUCAUUCGCCACACAUGCACAUCUUGAUUUGACUUAUUGACUUGUUUCUCUGGAUCCAUGGUUUGACUAUACAAUAAAUGUCUUGUCAGUAUGUAUUAGCUGUCUCCCACCUAUGAGCUCCAGAUAUCAAAACCUUAUUAGAGUAGGGUGAGAGUGAAGGCAAUGUCACUAUGCCUCAUACCAAAAAUGCCACAUACUUUGAGAGAAGGCAUAUAUCAUCACUGCCUUGGUGAGGAUCCAGAAAUACCACAAAAGAGAGAAUUGAGAGAGUCAUACAAGGAAUCUCUGAGUUUUAUUUUGAAAAUCUACAAAAACUCCAGAGAUAUAGUUGAUCAAAGAACAAGAAACAUGGCGCUUGACUUGACCGUUCUAUCUUUUAACUGCUCAAUACACAAGUGACGGUUCCAAGCCCCAUGGUCGAAGGAAAAAUGAGUAAGUUUAAAUCUUAACAGUUUACCCUAACCCAGAGAUGAGAUCUUGUUUGAACGCAUGUGUACCUUUAAGGCAUAAAACCACUGCAGAAACUCUUGAGUCCGUCCUUGCUCAGGGACGAGCAAGAGGUAAGCUUGGGGGAGUUCUUGACGGUGCUUAAGUACCAAAUAUAAUCAUCAAAUAAAUAAAGAAAAGGAUCCAAAAGCAACCAACCCAGACUUAGGGUUUUAUCUGACAGAAUUCCAUGAGUUUUGGUGUUUGUCUAUUUUUGAAUGGGGUUAUCAGGAAAUAUGGAGGAAAGGCCCACAUGUCAGAUUUACAUAGAGAUAUUAACGUGCUGCGCAAUUUUCUAUCAUCUAGAAGACUCCAGAAGCCACGGGAACGAACAGGAAGCCGCGCGGGCUCAGGGACAGGGCGCCCGCCCUACUCCUUAGGGCGCCCGCCCUACUUUUUCGACCAAUCAUGUUCUACUUCGCAGAUCAUGCUCCACCGACCUAAAGGAUCAAGGAAAACCAUGCGAUCAAUGUCGGUUUGAUCCGACGGCCCAAAUUCACUUGAGGGGACUAUAUAAGCAGACCCCCUGGCCCCUGGAGGAGACAACCCCUUGAUCUCUAUUCAUUAUUCAUAGGCAGAGCAAAAGCUAGAGUUUAGAGAUGAGAGCUCUCUUCUCUUCUCUAAACUAGAGUAGAUCUAGAUAGUAGCGAGAUGGAGAGCGAGGGAGGAUUGGAGGAGAGGCCGGCCUGUCGGUUCUUCCUCCGGUUGUACUUCGCCGUGAUCAAGCUCUAAUGAAGCUUGCUCAUGGGAUGACUCUGGUAAUAUACUUCUAUUUCAUCAUGCAAUUACUAUCCAUGUAUGUUCUGGUUCACAACUCUUUUGAGUACUUUAAUCUAUAGGACGCUAUAGGUGAGAGUUGUAGUAUAGGUGUAAGCGUGGUGCUUAGACGUAGAUUACUUGUGGAUAUCCCCUGUCUAGCCGGAUCGUGUGGUAGGCCGCGUAGGUGAUAGUUACGUUGGUCCCCUGUAAUCCACCUCGUGUUAGGAGGACUGGUAGGGUCUAUCGACCUAUGGAUAAGCAUCCUUUGUGGUGUAUUCUUAUCACGUGGUUCG
rnacentral:lncRNA from 1 species